rnacentral:rRNA from 1 species
AGCGAACGCUGGCGGCAGGCCUAACACAUGCAAGUCGAACGAACCUUUCGGGGUUAGUGGCGGACGGGUGAGUAACACGUGGUAACGUGCCUUUAGGUUCGGAAUAACUCAGGGAAACUUGUGCUAAUACCGAAUGUGCCCUUCGGGGGAAAGAUUAAUCGCCUUUAGAGCGGCCCGCGUCUGAUUAGCUAGUUGGUUGAGGUAAUGGCUCACCAAGGCGACGAUCAGUAGCUGGUCUGAGAGGAUGAUCAGCCACAUUGGGACUGAGACACGGCCCAAACUCCUACGGGAGGCAGCAGUGGGGAAUCUUGCGCAAUGGGCGAAAGCCUGACGCAGCCAUGCCGCGUGAAUGAUGAAGGUCUUAGGAUUGUAAAAUUCUUUCACCGGGGACGAUAAUGACGGUACCCGGAGAAGAAGCCCCGGCUAACUUCGUG